rnacentral:lncRNA from 1 species
ACACCCAUUUGAGCUUUGGAUCUUCAAACCAAUAGGUUUUAUAUAUAAAAGGGAUUAAUGCAUAUACAAGCUAUCCCAUAAUUUUUGGAUAAUUAUUUGGAGUUGAAAAAGUAUUUUAUUUAAAUAGUUAUAUAGCCCUAAAGGCAUUUAUAGGGCAAAUGUAUUUUUAUGUAUUUUAUUUUGAGGGUAAAUUACUCCCAAAAGGUGAAUCAUGGUAAAACAUGAUUUUACAAAUUUUCUGGAAUUUAUUUGGACCAAUUUGGAGUUCAAAAUCAAAAGAUAUCAAAGAAUUGAGAAAAACAGAAAAAGAAAAGGGCUAAAAGAAAAAAGAGAGGGAAAAGCGGACCGGCCCGGCCAAAUUGGGCCGAACCGGCCCAAUUCCGUGCGCAGGCGCCCACUGCCACUGACAGGUGGGGCCCACCUCUCAGGGCUUUCUUCCCC